rnacentral:rRNA from 1 species
UAUGGCGACCGGCGCACGGGUGAGUAACACGUAUCCAACCUGUCGAUGACUCGGGGAUAGCCUUUCGAAAGAAAGAUUAAUACCCGAUGGCAUAGUUCUUCCGCAUGGUAGAACUAUUAAAGAAUUUCGGUCAUCGAUGGGGAUGCGUUCCAUUAGGUUGUUGGCGGGGUAACGGCCCACCAAGCCUUCGAUGGAUAGGGGUUCUGAGAGGAAGGUCCCCCACAUUGGAACUGAGACACGGUCCAA